rnacentral:lncRNA from 1 species
UUGAGGGUGGCCAUGUAGCACUAUUAGUCGGCUUUGACUUCACUGACACUAUUGCUCUUGGAAAAUCACAUUAUCAGAUGGUAAGUGGACACCAAAGCUUGCAUCAUAUUCAAUUUGGGCUGAUCAAAGAUUGCAUUGUAUGCUAAAGAAACUUUGAUGACUAGAAAGUCUAUCAUGACGGUCGCUUAUUAAAGUUCUUGGUCGGCUAUGACCGAAAGGAUGAUUACUUCCUCCACUGGUAUAAGGUCUUCUAAAAAACUGAUCAAGGGAGAAUCUAUUCUUCUUAGCUGAUCUGUUGGCAAAUUCAUUUUUUGGAAUACAUCAUCGAACAAGAUAUCUGUAGAGCUUCCAUUGUCUAUUAAAAUUCUUCUUUUGUCAUAAUUUUCUACUGUAAGAGAGAUUACAACUACAUUGUCAUGGAGGGUUUGUACCUCCUCCAAGUCGGCAUCCAAGAAAGAUAUAACUUCCUUAGGUCUUAACCUCUUUGGGGCUGAAUCUCUUGCUCAGGCUGCUCAAGUGUAAG